CCAACGUGGAGGUGCAUAGUGCACUACCGGUAUAUCUUUCUUAAAUUGGCUUUAAAAGUGAUUAGUUGUCAUUAUAAUUAUCAUUAAAAAAGCAAAUUAAUUUCAAAUAAGCAGAAAAUGAAAAAGACAUUGAAAAAACCGUUGAAACAGUGAGAACAAUUAAUCAAUACACCGGCAGCCUGAAAUUAGAAGAGCAUUCCUGCCAACUUCUACGGAUCGAAGUCUAUGGAUCGGAACAGGAUCAAGAUGGUCGGUCAUAUCUUGUUUAAACAUUCUUCAUUAUCGUUCCGUCCGUUUAAUAAAUAAAAAAGUAACUCGUCAUAAAUAGAACACGAAACGACGUCGACGAACAAGAUGCCUCGACCCUCCUGCGCAAAUAGAUAGCCAAGUGAACGAAGCAGCGAGACCCGAAAUGAACAACGAAGACCAAAGAUGAUCAUGAUCUAAUGGCCUUGGUAUUCCGUGCGCGAGGGAGAGGACGCUCACUCAGGACGCUUCUUCUUAUGGCUGAAGUUGCGGAACUCAUCGCGAUGAAAUUCCACUUCGAGCAGCCACACGUGACGGGAAUUCAUAGCAUCGAUAUGGCCGAAGUGCGGACGCAAGAGGCGAUAAGAAGAAUUGCUCGCCGUCAAUAUGAUCAACAUGGAAGUCUUCAUGGAGCGAUGCUGUUACUGAUGUGGAUAUUUCAUAUGGCCCUGGAAUUGCCGACUAAAAAUGGAUCGUUUAGGCGGGAUAGUGUCCACCGCAAAACCUUUCUCUCAACCUCGACGUGUGCCGACGCCCAUAUUUUUCUUCCAUUGCAAUUUUCUAAUGAUAUAUAUAUAUAUAUUUUUUUUUUAUUAUCGUAUUAUAAUCAUAUCGUAAGUCUAUCAUAAGAUCAUAUCAUAAGUCUAUCAUAAGAUCAUAUCAUAAGUCUAUUCGUAAUCAUAUCAUCAUAUCAUAUCAUCAUAUCAUAAGUCUGUUCAUAAUCAUAUCAUCAUAUUAUAAGUCUAUCAUAAUAACAUUAUAUCAUAAGCCUAUCAUAAGCCUAUCAUAAGCCUAUCAUAAGCAUAUCAUAAGCUUAUAAUCAUUACAAAAUUUUAUGUAAUUUCUGCUACCUGUUUAGCAGGAAUAAAAUGUCAAAAUAUCACUUA